GUUAGUUUUGCUGGUUUGCUUUCAGCUUUUUUAUCUGUACGCUGUGCAAAUCCAUGCAAAACUGA
ensembl:miRNA dre-mir-19b microRNA 19b-1